rnacentral:rRNA from 1 species
CCUACGGGAGGCAGCAGUGGGGAAUAUUGCACAAUGGGGGAAACCCUGAUGCAGCGACGCCGCGUGAGCGAAGGAGUAUUUCGGUAUGUAAAGCUCUAUCAGACGGGAAGAAAAAGCCGGUACCUGACUAAGAAGCCCCGGCUAACUACGUGCCAGCAGCCGCGGUAAUACGUAGGGGGCCAGCGUUAUCAGGAUUUACUGGGCGUAAAGGGAGCGUAGCCGGUGCUGCAAGCCAGAUGUGAAAGCCCGGGGCUCAACCCCUGGACUGCAUUUGGUACUGUAAGGCUAGAGUGUCGGAGAGGCAGGCGGAAUUCCUAGUGUAGCGGUGAAAUGCGUAGAUAUUAGGAGGAACACCAGUGGCGAAGGCGGCCUGCUGGACGAUGACUGACGUUGAGGCUCGAAAGCGUGGGGAGCAAACAGGAUUAGAUACCCCUGUAGUC